rnacentral:rRNA from 1 species
GGAGUCUGGGCCGUGUCUCAGUCCCAAUGUGGCCGUUCAACCUCUCAGUCCGGCUACUGAUCGUCGCCAUGGUGGGCCGUUACCUCACCAUCUAGCUAAUCAGACGCGAGCCCAUCUUCGAGUGAUAAAUCUUUGGUAGUCUCAUCAUGCGGUAAAACUACGUUAUGAGGUAUUACCAUCCGUUUCCAGAAGCUAUCCCUCCUCAAGAACGAGUGGUCUCAC